GACGAACGCUGGCGGCGUGCUUAACACAUGCAAGUCGAACGGAAAGGCCCUGCUUUUGUGGGGUGCUCGAGUGGCGAACGGGUGAGUAACACGUGAGUAACCUGCCCUGGACGUGGGGAUAACUUCAGGAAACUGGGGCUAAUACCGGAUAGGAGCUCCUGCUGCAUGGGGGGGGUUGGAAAGUUUCGGCGGUUGGGGAUGGACUCGCGGCUUAUCAGCUUGUUGGUGGGGUAGUGGCUUACCAAGGCUUUGACGGGUAGCCGGCCUGAGAGGGUGACCGGCCACAUUGGGACUGAGAUACGGCCCAGACUCCUACGGUAGGCAGCAGUGGGGAAUAUUGCACAAUGGGCGGAAGCCUGAUGCAGAAACGCUGCGUGCGGGAUGACGGCCUUCGGGUUGUAAACCGCUUUCGCCUGUGACGAAGCGUGAGUGACGGUAAUGGGUAAAGAAGCACCGGCUAACUACGUG
rnacentral:rRNA from 1 species